rnacentral:tRNA from 1 species
GCCCGGAUGGCGGAAUUGGUAGACGCGCUGGUCUCAAAAACCAGUGGGCUAUGCCCAUGCCGGUUCGACCCCGGCUCCGGGUACGA